AGGAGACAAUAUGGGGAUAAGAAACUCUUCGGCAAUCUAUAUAGACCCUGCAAUUCGUUCUUUUGCUGUGUGUGUGACCCAGGAGAGGGAUGCACACAUUCCAUUCCACUGGUCCAUGUACCAGCUCCUGUCUGCCCACAUCAGAAACCAGUAUGUGCCAUGUUCUCCCUGGCACUUCUGAAUGUGAAUCCUUCAUCUCGUGACAAGGGCUCAUGCCAUGUGCUACAAACCAAGGGGGAACAGCACAGCAUUCCUUAUUUCUGUUAUCCCGGGGACUUGCACGCCACUGCUCUUCCAUCUGUUUUAAGAGAGAAGUCAUUCAGCACAUCAACAUUUGAACUGCUGCUGGGACGAUGGGCAGAGCAGAGAUGGAGGAG
ensembl:lncRNA